AGGAAAAUGUCCCUCAAAUUCUGGGCCCCAUCACACACUGUGUGACCUUGGGCCAGUCACUCAACCUCUCUGAGCUGCAGUUUCCUCACCUGGAAGUGAUAACAUUCACAGUCUGGUCGCAGGGCUAUUUCGAGGCACACCCGAGAUCAGUCGCUGACAUUGGUGUGCAGCCUGUCCGAUGCCAGACACAGGUAAUGAAGGGAAAAUGGAGCCUCUUGAAUCUUAACUGAAGGAUCCUAGAACCUACCAUUAUGCCCCUGGAUCUACUGGGAAAGGGGGAAAUGAAAGUCUUUGAAGGCCACUGGCUUUACAGGAGAAAGGAAGCCCCGCAGAGCAGGAGUGAGGCAUGGUGUGGGCAAAGGUCAAAGCCCCAAAGGCAGCGCCUCCUGCACCACAGGGCACAGGACGCGGCAGGGAGCCCCGAGCCUGGCGUGAAAAGAGGGCCUCCAUCGCUUCUCCCAGGCUGUGUGGCCUGCGGAAAGUCCCACGGCCUCUCUGAUCCUCAGUUUCUUGAUCCGUGAAAUGAAAACGGUAAUACCCACCCUGUUUACUCUACUGCGUUGUCAAAAGAACCACAUGGAGUUUGUGAACAACCAAACAAUGUGCACGUAACGAGUAGAAUAUGAUUAUGUCAGUGACGUGCUCAAAACGUUGGUUACUCUGGAAAGUUAAUUUGCAGUAGGAAAUUCAGAGUGAAAGAAAGUAUAAAGGCCAUCGGAGAUUUAAAAAUAGAUUGAUGAGAUCAUGAUAAUAGCAGAAGGGUACUUUUGGGGGGAGGGUGCCAAGAAACAGAGGGAAGAGCUGGGACCUCAACAAGUGGGACCUCAACAAGGAUCCUGGAUUUGAUUCCUGUCAAGGGCAUGUACCUUGGCUCGGGGCGGGGGGAGCCGUCAGGGCCCCGUGGAGGAAGCUGGGGUUUGCUCACUGAUGUGCUGAGUAAUGGGGUUGGGGAACAGUCCAUGAUGUGAGUGUUUUCUGUGAGUCAUUGUACCAUCCAUACUGAAGGUCACAUGCAAAAGCCAGAGCCAGGAACAGGCAUGCCAGCCGAGGCUAGGACUGUGUCCAAGAACCCGUGGAGAAGAUGCGCUGGCCCAGGAGGGUGUGAAAUGAGUUGGACACUCCAGGCAAGUUCAGAGAAAGCCCAGAGAGAGGCCAGGGAGGAGGUCAGAAGGAACACUCAGCUGUCUGGGCAGAGGAGACUGCCAGCGAGCGUAAGGACCCGCCCCGAGGAUGGGGUUGGAGGCCAAAAAGAGCAAGAAGUUUGGAAGGAACUGAAAUCCAUGGCAGGGCGGUGAGGAUGCUACUCAGGAUGCUACUCAGCCCUGAAGGGAGCCUGCCAGGCCCCUGGCAUAGGGUCAGAGCUGCAGGGCAAAGGGAGUAUUGAUUCCCAGGAGUGAGACACCUGGAUUGUGUCUUGGUCCUGCUCCCCCAGAGAGCAGGUAGGGACCGCAGGCUCCGUGUGACCUGGAGCUAUGUCUCAUUCCUCUCUGUAGCCUUACUGCCCCGCACAGAGCCUGGUGUUCAGAGGGCACUCAGUCAGUGUACCUUGGAAUGAACCAACAAAUGGAUGGCAAAUGGAUACGGCCACGUUUAAAAUACCAACAUGUUUUGAACUUUCUCUUUUUGGUGACUCUUGGCAGACUUUGGCCUUCUUUCUAGUGCCAGAUAGCUCAUGUGGACAGCACCUCAUUGUCCCUCCUGAGACCCCCUGGCCAUUGACCACAUCUCGGGUCUCCGUCCCUUCUCGUUCUAUUGUGUAUGUUCUCGAGAUGACUGUGCUCCAUUUAGUGGCUUGUUUCCAUGACAACCUGUUCCUUCAUACUGUCUAGUUCCCAGGCAUUACCUACUGUACCUUAUUCAGUUCCCAGCCUUGCUUACAUCCUGUCCUGAUGCAGAAUGUCUUCCAUUAAGGGAACAUCAUCUUCUCAGAAAUUAACUUUAAAAAUGUCAUUAAACAGAUUAUGGCAUGUUGGGUGUGUUUUUUCAACUAGAAGUAAAAAAUUUCUCCACCACUUCCUUGCCAAGAAACACAUUUCCUUGUCAGCUGUUUUCAUCGACUCUUUUCAAAACUUUUUGUCUCCACAUGUAUUGAAAGCCAGCCUUUAGGAGAAGCAUUUGGCUCCCAACAUAAUUUGGCUCUCAAACUUUCACCCACUCCCCUGGACUCCACCCCCUGCUGGCCACUGCCACGAUCACAGUGCCGCAGUCUCACCUUCCAUACUGAAGAUCUGAACCAUCUCCAAAAAGAUCAGUGACACACGACUCACUUCUAUUUUACUGUCAGUUUUGUUAGUCUGGUCCAAAUGUGCUGUUAGGGCUCCCAACGUGGUUUUCAUCACAUUACUGAAGAAGGAUCCAUCUGACCCAUCCUUGGAACUCACCUUGCUCAACUCCUUGGGUGCGUCUUGACCACGGUCUCUUCCUCGGCAAUAAAACCUGUGGGACUUUUAGGAAAGUACUCAGAAGGGUCCAGCGAAUGCCGGUUGAGGGUCAUCUCAUCUUUCUUCUCAAGAUGGACAUUCACAUCAGCUGCCAGAACUCUGUCACGCCCCUUGUGGCCAGCUGUGGAUAGGCUUGUCCUUGGUCCAGCAACCAGACCUGUCCAUCACUUGAGGCCGUUCACCACCGACCACCCCUGCCUUCCAGUGCAGCAUCACAUUGGUCCAGGCAUUUGGUAUCUCUCACUUAUAAGGCCUCUCAUGACUCAAUUCAGUGUACUGCGGAGGUGUCCUGGCUAGAUCCGUCCCUCAGUGCUCAGAGAGCUUCUACAUAGCGACCAUUUAUUGUGGCUGAGGUGUAACGCCAAGUUCCUUAGAACAGCUUCCCUCUGACUGUGCAUCAAAAAUCCAAUUUUGAUUUCUCCUGCCCUUUUCAUGCCUGCAUUUAGAGCUAAUGUGCACCGAAGGAUAUGGAAAGCUCAUCCUAUCUGUGCAGCUAUACCAUGACUAAAAAAUAUUUUCUAAAGAGUUAGUCUGCCUCUAGCCGGUUUGGCUCAGUGGAUAGAGCGUCAGCCUACAGAUCAAAGGGUCCUGGGUUUG